CUCUCUCACAAAAAAGACUUUCCGUGUCCAACGUUUGACCGUCCGUCUUAUAUAAAAAAAUUAAUUUUUAUCAAUAUUUUUAUUAUUGUUAGAUGAUAAAACAUGAAUAAUAUUUUAUAAAUAACUUAUUUUUUAUAAUUUUUUUAAAUAAAAUAGACGGUCAAACGUUAGACACAGAAAUUGAGCAAUUGAG
rfam:Oryza glaberrima chromosome 7 Oglab07_unplaced150_9, whole genome shotgun sequence.